rnacentral:rRNA from 1 species
GUUAAUCGACGCAGGGUUAGUCGGUCCCUAAGGCGAGGCUGAAAAGCGUAGUCGAUGGAAAACAGGUUAAUAUUCCUGUACUUCCAGUUAUUGCGAUGGAGGGACGGAGAAGGUUAGGCCAGCCUGGCGUUGGUUGUCCAGGUUUAAGGUGGUAGGCUGAAAUCUUAGGCAAAUCCGGGAUUUCAAGGCCGAGAGCUGAUGACGAGUUGCCUUUAGGCGACGAAGUGGUUGAUACCAUGCUUCCAAGAAAAGCUCCUAAGCUUCAGAUAACUGGGAACCGUACCCCAAACCGACACAGGUGGUUAGGUAGAGAAUACCAAGGCGCUUGAGAGAACUCGGGUGAAGGAACUAGGCAAAAUGGCACCGUAACUUCGGGAGAAGGUGCGCCG